GAUUAGGAGGCAGCUAUGCAGACCCUUCCUUUGUCCUAAGAAGAGGAUUCAGUAGACCAGGAGUGGCCAGAUUGCCACCGGCUUUCGGAGUUGGAGUUGGUGGCGUCCUGGAGAGAUCUGGACUCCGUGGACCUCCUCAUGCCCCAGAUGUUCCUCUUCCUCCUUAUCCCGCUCACCAUCUGACCCAUGAGUCGCUACCCAGCAUGGCCUUCUUAGCGCCUGAUUCAGCACCACCAGCUGAGCCUGAUCAAGCCACGUUGCAUGUCGUGGAUACAAGAAUCAAAGGUGUUCCCCAGGCCAGAGCCCCUAGAGUAGCUUCUUGUCCUCAUGGAAGACCCUGGAGGGGAAGCCAGGUGGUGGUUGUAGCGGGGGAGGUCUCUAUGAACCUGUCACAUGGAUUUCUCAAUGCUCAACUGGAGAGGGAGACACG